rnacentral:rRNA from 1 species
UAACGCGUGAGGAACCUGCCUUUCAGAGGGGGACAACAGUUGGAAACGACUGCUAAUACCGCAUAAUAUAUGUUUGUCGCAUGGCAGAUAUAUCAAAGAUUUAUCGCUGAGAGAUGGCCUCGCGUCUGAUUAGCUAGUUGGUAGGGUAACGGCCUACCAAGGCGACGAUCNGUAGCCGGACUGAGAGGUUGGCCGGCCACAUUGGGACUGAGAUACGGCCCAGACUCCUACGGGAGGCAGCAG